UACAGAGGUCUCAAGCGUUGUUCGGAAUCACUGGGCGUAAAGCGUGCGUAGGCUGUUUCGUAAGUCGUGUGUGAAAGGCGCGGGCUCAACCCGCGGACGGCACAUGAUACUGCGAGACUAGAGUAAUGGAGGGGGAACCGGAAUUCUCGGUGUAGCAGUGAAAUGCGUAGAUAUCGAGAGGAACACUCGUGGCGAAGGCGGGUUCCUGGACAUUAACUGACGCUGAGGCACGAAGGCCAGCGGAGCGAAAGGG
rnacentral:rRNA from 1 species